rnacentral:rRNA from 1 species
GCACCAGUAGGGAAUAUUGGGCAAUGGUCGCAAGACUGACCCAGCCAUGCCGCGUGCAGGAAGACGGCCCUCUGGGUUGUAAACUGCUUUUAUCUGGGAAGAAAAAGUCCAUGCGUGGAAAAUUGCCGGUACCAGAUGAAUAAGCACCGGCUAACUCCGUGCCAGCAGCCGCGGUAAUACGGAGGGUGCAAGCGUUGUCCGGAUUUAUUGGGUUUAAAGGGUGCGUAGGCGGCUGAAUAAGUCAGCGGUGAAAGACUUCGGCUUAACCGGAGCAGUGCCGUUGAUACUGUUUGGCUUGAGUGUUGGAGGGGUACAUGGAAUUGAUGGUGUAGCGGUGAAAUGCAUAGAUACCAUCAGGAACACCGAUAGCGAAGGCAUUGUACUGGCCAACAACUGACGCUGAGGCACGAAAGUGUGGGGAUCGAACAGGAUUAGAUA